rnacentral:rRNA from 1 species
UACGUAGGGUGCGAGCGUUAAUCGGAAUUACUGGGCGUAAAGCGUGCGCAGGCGGUUUGCUAAGACAGGUGUGAAAUCCCCCGGGCUUAACCUGGGAACUGCGCUUGUUACUGGCAGGCUCGAGCACUGUAGGGGCGGGUGGAAUUCCGGGUGUAGCGGUGGAAUGCGUAGAGAUCCGGAAGAACACCGGUGGCGAAGGCGGCCCGCUGGGCAGGAAGGGGUGGGUAACCACCCCGGCUGACACUGAGGCGCGACAGCGUGGGGAGCAAACAGG